rnacentral:rRNA from 1 species
GUGCCAGCAGCCGCGGUAAGACGAACCGUGCGAACGUUGUUCGGAAUCACUGGGCUUAAAGGGCGCGUAGGCGGGCUGCCAAGUCUGGGGUGAAAUCCCACGGCUCAACCGUGGAACUGCCUCGGAUACUGGCGGUCUCGAGGGAGGUAGGGGCAUGCGGAACUGUGGGUGGAGCGGUGAAAUGCGUUGAUAUCCACAGGAACUCCGGUGGCGAAAGCGGCGUGCUGGACCUCUUCUGACGCUGAGGCGCGAAAGCUAGGGGAGCAAACGGGAUUAGAUACCCCCGUAGUCC